rnacentral:rRNA from 1 species
GACGUAGGGGGCGAGCGUUGUCCGGAUUCAUUGGGCGUAAAGCGCGCGUAGGCGGUUCGGAAAGUCGGAUGUGAAAACCCGGAGCUCAACUCCGGGCCUGCAUCCGAUACUCCCGGACUAGAGGUAGGUAGGGGAGAUCGGAAUUCCUGGUGUAGCGGUGUAAUGCGCAGAUAUCAGGAGGAACACCGGUGGCGAAGGCGGAUCUCUGGGCCUUACCUGACGCUCAGGCGCGAAAGCUAGGGGAGCGAACAGG